ensembl:lncRNA
AUGAAGAGAAACCUGCUGAAUACUGGAGACCUCAGUCUGACCCUGAAAUACCCCACAGACAGAGACAGUAACACCUACACCUGCACCAUCUACAACAGGGAGGGACACAUCCUGAUGAAGAAACAAGUAGAGCUGAAGGUCAGAGCCUGUCAGGUGGAGGUGGAGGAGGGGGAGGAGUCUGUCCAGCUGCCCUUCAGAACUACACCUGACCUGCCCGAGGAUGCUAAACUGGAGUGGAUCUCUUUUGAACCAUCAUACAGGACAGUCCACGUGUAUGAGAACAGAUCUGACCAGCCUGAAGAACAGCACCAGGAUUACAAAGACAGAACAGAGGUGAAGAAAGACCUGCUGAAGACUGGAGACCUCAGUCUGACCCUGAAAUACCUAAAAGAGACAGAAGCAGGAGAAUACUGGUGUGGAGUCAUCAACAAGAACAGAGAUGCCCUGAGAAUGAAAACAGUGAAGCUCAAAGUCAAAGGUCAGUAUGAAGAUACAGAACAGAGGUCUGUGUGUCUGUCUCUGGUUGGCUGCUUGUCUCUGAUUGGCUGCUUAUCUUUGUCUAACUUUCCUCCGUCUCCUCUGCAGGGAGAACUCAAACAUCAAAGCACAUCAAAGAUGAAACAGAGGACAUUAGGAACAGAAGCAGCUCCACUGAGCUGACUCUUCUAAAGCUUCAUGAAUCUGUUUGAUCUGUUGGUCAAUCUUUGAUUAUUGAUCUGAUGUGACUUUGGAUCUGAGACUAAAUGGAGGUGAAGGAGCUGAUGGAGGACGGAUGAAGACAGGAGGACGCUUCGUCAGCUUCUUCUACACUGUGACUCCUCCUACUGACUCACACACACAGUCUACACACUCACUAUUGAUGACUAUUCAUCAGUGAUGAGGAGGGAUGCCGUCCCCCUUGUUAGCAAAAUUAUCAAAAAGCAUCCCCCUCGUUAACCUGACAUCAGUCUCCAUCCACUAGUAGCAGAUAGUGUGUUACAAAUCAGAAGCGGACGCGAUCCACUCCGACGCACAAUGAAGUCAAGCCGGGCACGGAUGCUUUGCGAGCCGGCUGCCCGGUUUAUUUUUGACGGAGGCUGCAACAAGCUGCACAGAGCAGAUCGUGCCAACCGGAAGACACAGGAAAGGCAUAGAGCAUCCGGUCAAUUUUCAAAAUAAAACACCAUGUGCAGACUCCCAAUUGUAUAAAAACGAAAUAAUGACCAGAUCAAUAAAUGGUUGCUAUCAAUGUUCUAAAACCAAAAUGUCACUUUUUGUUUGCAUUUUAAGUGUGUCUGUUCAGAACUUGGUGGCUUGUGUUAUGUUGCCAAUUGUCAUUUUUGUGCUGGUUUGUAGUUUAACCAUUAGUGAGGUAGCUGUAACAUUUCCUGACACCAACUAUUUUAUCCCAGUUGAAAAGCACUCUGCUGGACAAACUAUGUCAUUACGCCAGUUUUUAAUUACCCCAAGCAUGUUUUUCUGCUUUAUACUUUUAAAGGAGUCAUCACCCGGAAAUCGCAAUUUCUCUUGUUAAAUCAUGCAUAUUGGUGUUGGACCUCUGUUGAAACUUGCCUGAAAAGCUGGAGUUUGAAAGUGG